GGGAAAGGGAGAGGGAGAGAGAAAGAGAGGGGAGGAGAGCAAGUGUGAGCACUAUCGGGUGGAUUCUAAUAGCUCUGAUAAUCUCAUCUGGAGAAGGUCAUCAGAGGCAGCAAGUUUGAGAAACUGUCACAGCUAGGAGGCCACCAAGGAGACAUGAUGACUAAAUUAACUGGUGUCUUAGAAGGGAUCCUGGGACAGAAAAUGGAAUUAGUCUCCAUCAAAGGAAAUCUGAAUGAACUGUGAAUUCUAGUUAGUAAACAUGUAUCAGAGUUUGCAUCAUUCAUUAUCAAAAAUUUGGACUGUUCACCAAGGCCCAAGUCCGAAGUCUCAGUACUCACUCAGGAGGUGAAGACAGGAAGAUCAGGUGUUCAACUCCAUCCUCAACUAUGUAGUGAGUUCAAAGACAAUCUGUGCUAUAUGAGACAAAACAAAACUUGUAACAAAUGUACCAUCCUAACAACAGGAAAUUCUUAAUAAGGAUCUGUGUGUGUGUGUGUGUGUGUGUGUGUGUGUGUGUGUAGUGUAGGCAGUAGAUACAAAUAUUCUAUGCUGACUGCUCAUUUUUUUUCUAUGUAUCUAAAGCUGUUCUAAAAGUAAAGGCAAGCCUGGUAGAAAAGCCUGGGAUUCCAGCUGUGCCAGGGCUCUUGGGAUUGCAAGGAAGGCAGGUGAGGGUGGAGGGUCGCUCUCCUCCUCAAACCAACCGCACAAGGAGCUGGGCUACUUGCUCUGUGCCCUGGGCUUCCUGCAUCCCUACUGCUCCAAGGCAGCCAGCCUACAGGGGUUUCUGAGGCCAAUGGUGCUAGUGGCUGGGGCUACUAGUCAGUGUGACCCCUCAUCAUUAAAGAUCUAGAGACCCCUACACUCUUGGGGUGUCCUGUUUCUGCCAAGUAGCCUACCCUGACAGCUCCCACCUCCAGUCUUCUGGACAGGGAAGUAAUCCCUUAGGGGAUUACAGGAUUUCAUUCCUCUGUCACUCCUCCAGUCUGGCUUGUUUCCACACGGUAGAAAUUGAAGUUCUUACUGUAGGAAGAUGCCAGGGUGACUCCUGUCUUCUGGUUUGCAGCAUCAUGGUACUGGGCAAAUGGGAGUUGCAAGGUUGUAGUGGGAGUGCAGACUGCUGUGACAACUUCUAAAGAUUGAUUUAUGUUGUUGUUAUCUGUAAUGUAUUUGUUAUAUGUAUGUGUGAGGACUUGCAUAUAUGUUAAGUGUCCCAUAUGCAUGCCUGGUUCCUGUAGAGGGCAGAAGGGGGCUUUUGAUGCCCCAGAAUUAGAGUUACAUGGGAAGUUGUAAGCCUCCACGUGGGUGCUGGGAACUGAACCCUGGUCUUUGAAAUAGCAGCAAGUGCUCUUAACUGCUGAGCCAUCCCUCCAGUCCCUCAAUAACAACUUUCAUGUUUUUUUUUCCCCUGAAGGCUUGUUGUCCUUGUUGCUCUUGUGACUGCUUUCCUCCAUAUUUAUUUAUUUAUUGGUUUUUUAUAAACAGGGCCUCAUUUAUCUCAACUACAACCUGAACUCACAAUUUAGCUGAGGGUGGUCUUGAACUUCUGAUCCUUGUGCUGGGACUUCAGAUGUGCACCACCAUGCCUGCCUCUGGCUCUUGCUCUUGCUCUUCCUGUUGUCUAUCUACUAAGCCAGAGUUCUUGAAACUAGAAAUGAAGGAGGUCCCUGAGCCUGGCAGAGCAACGGCUCCUUAAAGAUGUCCCAGGAAUGUUGUAGAAAGAUAAAUCACCAGUCACAGUCACCGUCUUUCGGCAAUGUGAAAGAGAGAUUGCUGAUUUCCUUCUACUGUCCCACAAGUGUCACAGAAGCUUAUAGAAAGAGGCUUAUUGUUUAUGGGACCAAAAGGGUGUCAAGUGCCUUGAGGCAAGGAGAAGAGGGUUCAAGGGACAAUCUCUAAAUUCUAAGUGUGCCUCUGCUCACAGGAGCAUGUCUGUAACAUGACACCUGGGUAUCUGCACAGAUUGAGUAUUGCAUAAAUCAAGGGCACUUGGAAAUACAAGGAGCUCUAUAAUGAGGAUGAGUUUCACAUGCAUAUUUAUAGUCUUCCGUUAGCAAGAGAGGCCACCUGUGGGAUCUGAUAUGUAUUUAUCCUUGUCUUGUGAAAUCAGUAGGAAAGAGGCAACACACACACACACACACACACACACACACACACACACACACACACACACACACACACACACACUCUACUGGUUUUUUUCUUUGAGACAAAAUUUCAAGUAGCCCAGGCUGGCCUCCAGCUCCCUAUGUAGCUGAGGAUGACCUUGAGCUCCUGACUCUCCUGUGUCUACUUCCUGAGUGCUGAGAUAACAGGCAUUUGCCACCAUGCCUGGUUUUAUUUGGGAAUGAACGCAGGUUCUUCCGCACAAUGGGCAAACAUUCUAUCAGCUGAGCUACAUCCUCAGCCCUGAUAUUUUUUGCUGGCACCUCAAAAUUUGAGUGUCUAGGCUACAGACCAUUGAUUAUUAUGGCCUCUCACAUUGCCAACCCCGAUAGCUUUGUUUUCUGCUCUGUCUGCCCAUUUUCUACAACUUUCCAAAUUCUCCUGCUGGCUUCCUCUGUUAAUCCCAAUAUCUCAUGCCCUUCCCCACAUGUGCCCAUUUGUUCUUCCACUUCUGCCCCAGGGGUUCCUAGGGGAAGCUCCUCCUGUUCUGCCACACUGAGGCAUGCUUGUAUCUUCCUAUCUCUGUCCCCCAGCACUGAGAUGACAGGAAUGCACUGCCUCUGUCUGCUUUUAUCUGUGCCGUGGGAUUGAACAUAACUUCUCAUGAUUAUGUGGCAAGCAUUUCCCUCACCACUACCACCGCUUAAAAAAAUUAAAUUAUGCAUAGAUGUAGAUGUGUGUGUCUGUGUGUUCUAUGCAUGUGAGUGCUGGUGCCUUCAGGGGCCGGAGCCAUCAGGUCCCCCUGGAGCAGGCAUGACAGGAGGUUAUAAGCUCCCUGAUAUGAAUGUCUGGAACCAAUUUUGGUUCCUCUGCAAGAACUCUGUGUGCUCUUAACCAUUGAGCCAUCUCUCUAAUCCCCCUAUCACUUAGUUUUCGAGGAGGGUUUUACUCUGUAGCUCAGAAUGGCCUUGAACCCAUGGCAGUCCUCCCUAUGCUUCUCUCCUGGCUUCUCCCAGCUCCUGGUGGCACCAGGUAGCCUUUUGUGUGUCUUCAUCCCUUGAGUGUUUUUCUCACCCUUCACAUGGCCUUUACAUGUGAUCCUUCCCAUGGGGUGUAGGAUUAUUAGAUAUUGAGGAUAUCUCACUGUGAAAUCCUUAAUUUAAGGUCUGCUAAUUUUUUUUUUUUUUUUUGAAACAGGGUUUCUCUAUGUAGCCCUGGCUGUCCUGGAACUCUCUACGUAGACCAGGCUGGCUUUGAACUCACUGAGAUCCACCUGCCUCUGCCUCCCAAGUCCUGGGAUUAAAGUUUUCUGUCUGCAUGUAUCCCUGCAAUCCAGAAGAGGGCACCAGAUCUCAUUACAGAUGGUUGGGAGCCACCAUGUGGUUGCUGGGAAUUGAACUCAGGACCUCUGGAAGAAUGGGCAAUGCUCUUAACCCCUGAGCCAUCUCUCCAGCCCCUGUUAUUAUUUUUUUACAAAUCAGGUCAGUCACAGGUUCUGGGUUUGACGUGGACAUAUUUUUUUCCAGACUCUCACUUAAUCCCGCAGAUCUCUCAAUCUGAGUUCCACUGUCUUCUAGUUCCACUUGUUUCCCCCGCAGCAGAGGGGAAGGGGGCUUUCCCCCCUUCUUCCUUUUGUCUCCUCCAGACUUCAACUUUUGGGGGUCUUUCCAGGAGCCUCUGUGAGCUGAGACAGCUGAGUGAAUACCUGCCUAUAGAGGUCACCCCUCAACCUCUCCACCUCUACAAGCUGGAGUUCCCUGGGGCCCAGGCACCUUCUUGACCUGGGAUCUUCCAGGACGGCUGGACAUUCACACCCCGCCCCAACCCUGCAGUCAUCAGAUCAUUCUUGGCUUUUGGGCAUCUCAACUGGAGAUGCAGGCCUGCCCUCCCCUGCCCUGCUCUGUCCUUUCCACCCCUCCCCUCCCCUCUCCCCUCCCCUCUCCUUCUUUGUCCUGCACUGCAAGUUUCCCAGCUCCUCAACCUCCCUUUCAUGAACUAACUGCUAGGCUGGAAACCUGGGUACUUGGUUCUCACUGUUGAUGUGGGAGGGAGGGAGGAGGGUGACCCCCAGAGGACAUUUAGCAAAGUCUAGAGACACUUUUUAUUGUCAUAACUGAGUGACGGAAGUCUGCAUUAUUACUCUUUAGUGAGUGAAGGCUAGGGAUGUUGCUAAACAGCCCAUUAUGAACACGAUAACCCUAGAAUAAAGGAGUCCCUUGAUGAAGAUGACAACAGUGUGGUGGCUGAGUGACUCCGCUCUACCUCCAUGCCGCUCCUAAACUUCAGGAUGAAGACCCAAUUCUCAAGAAACUUCUCCCCAAGCUCUGCCUCUCCAGGGGCAGCGGUUCUGGGUUCUGGUGACAUUCUGCCAGGGAGCAUCCUGGCAUGGUGGCGAAGGGGGAAGUAGAGGGGGCUAAAGAGGAGCCUGCUUUGUCAUCAUCCCCUCCCAGGGAACUCGGCGGCUCUCAUUGGCUUGUGGGGGUUAAUGAAGGACCAGCUUGGGCUCUUAGGGAGUCUUGGCAAGGGUCCUUAUCUACCCAUCUCACUGGGAAGUUCCAGUCAGAGUUGAGAGGAAGCAUACCCGCCAGUCAACACCAGAGAUCCCUUACUUGUCUGAGUCCAUUCUCCUCUGGGUGUGAAAACUCGGCUGAGGCAGAAGCUCUUUCAGUUUGUUCACCUGUGUCCCAGGUACCUCAACAUAAUUACUCUGUUGCAAAACAAUGACAUUCUGUUGACAGUGAAUGAAGAGUCUGCCUUCUUUAGAGAACAGGUGGAUUUGCAGCUGGCAAGGAUACCGGCUGGGGAUGUGACUCGGUUGGUUAGGUGCUUGCUUGGCACACACAAGACUCUGCAUUUAAUCCCAAGCUCUGCAUAAACCAGGUGUAGGGGCGAAGGCCUGAAACUUCAGCACUCAGAAGUGAAUGUAAGAGGACAAGAGUUCAAGCACACCCUCUGCUACAUACAGAGUUUGAGGCCAGGCCAGGAUACAGCAUCUUAAAAAUGUACCUGUGAUUUUUUUUUUCAAGGUCUUUGCUAUAUUUCUCAUUUUUUUCCCCCAGGAUAACAUAGAUGGCCUUGAACUUGGGAAUCUGUCUGCCUUAGUUUGCUAAGUAGCUGGGAUUUCAGGUGGACAACACACCAUGGUUUUUGUUUCUUCUAUCAAGCUGAGGAUCAAAGGCAGGUGCGCUCUGCCACCAAGCGACAUCCUGACCCCCAUCUGUAAUCCUUUCAAAGAAAGAAAAGAGUUUGCUUGGAUCAAAGAGCAAAAAUGAAUUUUGUCAAGUGGAUGUGCAGGAGGCGCUCCUCUACACUACGGGGAGAAGAGUUGGCAAGAAGAAAGGACCUUGGAACGAGAGCCUGUACAGUUGGUGACUGGCCUAUGGUGGUGCACCCAUUCACAUGUGUGGGCAUUCUCACACACAGACAUACAGACAGACAUGUGGAAGUGUGCCCCCCCAAUCAAUGGGCAUGUGGGAGCCACUAGUGAGAAAGAGCCCAUCUCACACUGGUGCAGGAUAGGAGGCCUAGGCUGUCUCUCCUUUCACAUACCAAAUGCCCCCAGGUAACAGCCACACAAGGGUAGUUAGUUGUAUUGCCGCUGGGAGUCCUGUGUGGGACACUUAGGAAAUAAAGAUUAAUGAAACUGGCAAGAGUCCUCAAUCCAACCCAAGCACAUGGCUGAAGUGCCUGCCACGAGCACCCACCAGAAGCUUUGCUAGUUGCAGGCUGAAGCUCUAGCUAAAGCAAGGCACUACACA
ensembl:lncRNA